rnacentral:rRNA from 1 species
UACGUAGGGGGCAAGCGUUGUCCGGAUUUAUUGGGCGUAAAGCGCUCGCAGGUGGUCCGCUGCGUCGUGCGUGAAAGACCCCGGCUCAACUGGGGGAUGUCGUGCGAUACGGGCGGACUGGAGGCCAGUAGGGGGGAUGCGGAAUUCCGGGUGUAGUGGUGGAAUGCGUAGAGAUCCGGAGGAACACCAGCGGCGAAGGCGGCAUCCUGGACUGGUCCUGACACUCAGGAGCGAAAGCGUGGGGAGCGAUCCGG